UGCUCGCUUCAGCAGCAAUAUACUAAAAUGGGAACCAUACAGAGAAGAUUAGCAUGGCCCCUGCGCAAGGAUGACUCGCAUAGUCAUGAAGCGUUCCAUAUUUUU
ensembl:snRNA Gm25628 predicted gene, 25628